CAUGUUUCUGUAGGGUGCGAUCUUUUUCUGAACCCUACUAACGUAAAAUACUUUGUGUAUCAAAUUGUAUAUGUGUACUUUGUUUGUGUGAGCUUGCUCAAGGUAUUAACUCCAACUCAGAUAAAAGAGGAGGGUUGAAAAAAAAUUAUACUCAUUACUUCAAAAGUCUCUUUUUCUGUCACGCGUAAAACUAGUCAAUUUAUAAUUUUCUUCACAAAUACAUAAUAUGUGUAUGUUCUCCUCCUGUGUAAGCUUGUUCAAAUUAUCGAUUCCUAAUUAACCAGCAUAAAAAUAGUCAAUUUAUGAUGAAUCUUCAUAAUAUAUAAGCUCGAAUGACCUAUUCCUAACUAGUUCAAAUGAAAGAAUAAGAUCAUAAUAGACUGACAAUCAACGUAAAAUUAAUCGAUUUAUGAGAAAUCUAACAACA
rnacentral:lncRNA from 1 species